GGGCCAUGAGGAUCCAUGCUUAAGGCGUGCCCUUGACAACAGGUCUAUCAACAUUCCAAAGCAAAGCUCCUUUCUGUGCUGCUUUCCCAUUCCCUUUAUUAUCCUUCAUUUGUCAGACUUGUGCCCUGAUGUCUCUGGUACAGGAAGGGAUCAGGGAAGUGCCUCUCCAAAACUUGGAUUUACAGAGAAAAUAGCAACAGCAGCAACAGGGGAAGGAUCAUCUCACCCAGUGUGGACUGAAAAUUCUGCUAACAGAAGCCUCAUUAUCUUCAAAACAUACUGGCACACUCAAAGGUCCCAGACUCCCCAAGCUUUUGUUUCUUCUCCACCAUGGCUAAUCACUUUUCUCCACAGUCGACCAAUGGCUCUUUCCUCAGCCAGAAUAUUGCAAUGUUUCAAGCUUAAAAGUUGGUUAUUAUGCAGAGAUUUCAUUGAUACAGAGCUGAGGCUCCUGGAAGAAUUGAGCACUGCCCUGACAAACAGGGUGCUUGCAGGAAAACGAUUCUGAUUGGGUAUUUGGCCACACACCGUGAAAACCACACAGGGAUAUUACAGAGAACUUGGCUAUCUAAUCUAAAGCUAUCUUGCCAGGAAAACAGAACCACUGGAGAUGCCCUUUUCAAAAAUACCCAUGUUGGGCACAGGUAAGCAUAUCCAAGUAUAUAGAUGCCUUAUA
rnacentral:lncRNA from 1 species